GAUGAACGCUGGCGGCGUGCCUAAUACAUGCAAGUCGAGCGAACAGAUGAGGAGCUUGCUCCUCUGACGUUAGCGGCGGACGGGUGAGUAACACGUGGAUAACCUACCUAUAAGACUGGGAUAACUUCGGGAAACCGGAGCUAAUACCGGAUAAUAUAUUGAACCGCAUGGUUCAAUAGUGAAAGACGGUUUUGCUGUCACUUAUAGAUGGAUCCGCGCCGCAUUAGCUAGUUGGUAAGGUAACGGCUUACCAAGGCAACGAUGCGUAGCCGACCUGAGAGGGUGAUCGGCCACACGGGAACUGAGACACGGUCCAGACUCCGACGGGAGACAGCAGUAGGGAAUCUUCCGCAAUGGGCGAAAGCCUGACGGAGCAACGCCGCGUGAGUGAUGAAGGUCUUCGGAGCGUAAAACUCUGUUAUUAGGGAAGAACAAAUGUGUAAGUAACUGUGCACAUCUUGACGGUACCUAAUCAGAAAGCCACGGCUAACUACGUG
rnacentral:rRNA from 1 species